rnacentral:rRNA from 1 species
UACGGGGGGAGCAAGCGUUGUUCGGAUUUACUGGGCGUAAAGGGCGCGUAGGCGGCGUGGUAAGUCACUUGUGAAAUCUCCGAGCUUAACUCGGAACGGUCAAGUGAUACUGCUGUGCUAGAGUGCGGAAGGGGCAACUGGAAUUCUUGGUGUAGCGGUGAAAUGCGUAGAUAUCAAGAGGAACACCUGCGGCGAAGGCGGGUUGCUGGGCCGACACUGACGCUGAGGCGCGAAAGCUAGGGGAGCGAACGGG